rnacentral:lncRNA from 1 species
AUCAGGGAAGACAGAAAGCAAGUAAUUGGUGUGGAGAAGGCUGGGUCAGAUGGGCAAAGCUGCUAAUAAGUUCAAGCUUCUCACCUCUGUGGAGAGAUGAUGCUAAAAUUAGAGCACAACGCUACUCACAGAGCUUGUGCACGCACGAACAUGCUCUAGUGGGUACUCUGCAGGCAGGUUAUCCUGCAAGCAGAGUACCUAGCCAGGGUGGUACCUGGCCUUUCCACUCUGCCUUUCCACUCUGGGCACUAUGAGCAGCAUGUUUUCUUCUCACAGAGCAAACAGCGUAGGUUGACUAUAGAGGUCUGGCAGUGAUCAAGACAUCUCCCAGGUGCAGGAUUUCCCAAGAGGCUAUGAAUGCGACGGCCUGCUCAAGGGACUGCAGCUAGACCGGCAUGACCACAGGAUAAGCAAAGCCCAGUCUCUGGGAGCAUCUCACGAUGGCAAGAGAGCCCAGAGUCCCAACUGGGUCCUGCAAAGUGGCCUGAAGCUCAGCCUCCUUCCAUGGGCUAAGCUUGCCUGCCUCUUUGUCAUCCUGUUCUCACAUGGCUUCCAUCCUUACUCCCCAGGGCCCUGCCUUCCUUGCUAGCCCUUCCUUGCUAGAUUCUUCAGACUCUGCCCUGCCUCUCCCUCCCUGUUCUGCACUUCCAGCGCCUUCCGCGGCUACUCCCUCCUGUUCCGUGCUGUUGACGGCUGCCGAACGCUUGGCAUCCUCCCUCGUUUACACCCACCCCAACCCUCCAGUAAUUACUUGUUAGGGAACAGUCUUCAAUUCUAGUAAAACCUGGAGGAAGAAGAAUGCAAACACCCCUACACACGCAGGAUCCGCCUUGCAGAGGUCUGCUGCAUUAAUUAGUAAAGUCAUUCCAAAAGCGUCAUCGUUCAUCACCGGCUCCAAUGCCACAGCCGGUUAAUAUUUUUCAAGAGGGAAAACUAUUCAAAAUAGCUCCAAGAUGGGAGAUGUGUGUGUGUGCGUGUGUGUAUGUGUAGAUGUGUGUGUGUGUGCACACUUAUCUAUACACAUGUGUACAUAGAGUAAGACGUUCCAGGAAAUAUGCUCUGAAGCUACUAAAAUUAGUCAGAAAGGAACGAAUGCAAGUUCCUCUCAAUUCUUAAUCACUCCCCCACCACUCACCUCCCAUCCCCUACUCACAGCCCCAGGAAGCCAGAUAUAAAGUACAGGUGGACUGAAGUCCCAGUGUAGAUUCCUCCCCGCUAUGGUGCAAUGGCGUGAGCAGGUCCUUAGAGACAAGUGAUAAAACCUAUACGGUCUUCUUUCUGUCUCUCUGCAGCCUCUGGGUUUUCUGUGCAUUGAAGUGUCUGUGCGUGUGCACAUACAGGUCUUAAACCCAUUUUCAAUCAAUCCCACAAAGUAUCUGCACUCUAUCAAACUUAUCUGAAAUGGCACGUUGUGUGACUUCAAGAGCCACAAUCCCAUAGAGCUGUGGUAGUCCAGCACUCCAUCCAGUAGGUGGGGACACAGUAGGACCUGAGACAUACCCAACUACGAUUCCUAGUGGGCAAUCCUAAUAAUGAGGGCACCAUCCCUGCAGUAUUGGGAGCUUGGUCAACAAAUGCCUCUGUGCCCAUGAGAGAUUCUAGCACCUGGCCCUAGAAAAUGCCCCAGCAGGGAGCCCUAAUAUCUCCUCUCCUUGGCUCCGCAUCACUGACUAAAACAUCUCUACUGUCAGCUGAAAAUGGCUCACCUAACACUUGAGUUUUGGAACCACAAGUUAAUGGCCUCCAGAGAUCAUCCUGUGGCUUUCCUCUGUGACCUGCACUGACACAGACCCAGAGCUACUGCUCUCCUGCACAUCUAUCCACCAGCCCCAAACCAGAGUUGUGGGAUUGUCUUGGCUUCAGCUUCACCAGAUGUUAAGAAAAAAUAAAUCCAGACCCAAUUCAGGGCUCCACCCAUCCUCACGAGGGAAGCGUGACCCACUGUGGUCAUAACUGCCAGCCUAUCUCUGCCCCUCCUGUGUAAGCAUCACGUUCGAGCCUACCCUGUACUAACUUCUACGCUUUACACUUGUACCAACACUCUAGGAGUGCAUGCGAGCAUCACCCUCCAACCCUACAUCC